AUUGAACGCUGGCGGCAGGCCUAACACAUGCAAGUCGAGCGGAUGAAGGGAGCUUGCUCCUGGAUUCAGCGGCGGACGGGUGAGUAAUGCCUAGGAAUCUGCCUGGUAGUGGGGGACAACGUUUCGAAAGGAACGCUAAUACCGCAUACGUCCUACGGGAGAAAGCAGGGGACCUUCGGGCCUUGCGCUAUCAGAUGAGCCGAGGUCGGAUUAGCUAGUUGGUGAGGUAAUGGCUCACCAAGGCGACGAUCCGUAACGGGUCUGAGAGGAUGAUCAGUCACACUGGAACUGAGACACGGUCCAGACUCCUACGGGAGGCAGCAGUGGGGAAUAUUGGACAAUGGGCGAAAGCCUGAUCCAGCCAUGCCGCGUGUGUGAAGAAGGUCUUCGGAUUGUAAAGCACUUUAAGUUGGGAGGAAGGGUUGUAGAUUAAUACUCUGCAAUUUCGACGUUACCGACAGAAUAAGCACCGGCUAACUCUGUGCCAGCAGCCGCCGUAAAAC
rnacentral:rRNA from 1 species